AUGUAAGGAUUCAAAGGUCGAACAGACCUAAACUUUGAACUUCUACACCCAAAAAUAACCCUUAAUCCAACAUCGAGGUCGCAAUCUUUUUUAUCGAUAUGAACUCUCAAAAAAAAUUACGCUGUUAUCCCUAAGGUAACUUAAUCUUAUAAUCACUAAAAAUGGAUCAAUUAAUCAAAAAUUAUUGUUUAAUAAUUAAAAGAGUUUAAUAAAUCUUCUUGUCACCCCAACAAAAUAUAUAUUUUUAUAAAAUUUAAUUAUUUACUAAAAAUAAAUUAUAAUUAAUAUAUAAAGCUCUAUAGGGUCUUCUCGUCCUUUAAUAUUAUUUAAGCUUUUUAACUUAAAAAUUAAAUUCUAUUAACAUUUAAAUUGAGACAGUUAAUACCUCGUCCAAUCAUUCAUUCUAGCCCUCAAUUAAAAGACUAAUUAUUAUGCUACCUUUGCACGGUCAAAAUACCGCGGCCCUUUAAAAUUUUUCAGUGGGCAGAUUAGACUUUAAAUUAUAUUCAAAAAG
rnacentral:rRNA from 1 species